UGAGGAAUCUUGGGCAGUGGGGGAAACCCUGACCCAGCCACGCCGCGUGGAGGAAGACACCCCUACGGGGCGUAAACUCCUUUUGUGUGAGAAGAAGGUCCCGUUCGUCGGGAUUUGACGGUACCACACGAAUAAGCACCGGCUAACUCCGUGCCAGCAGCCGCGGUAAUACGGAGGGUGCAAGCGUUGUCCGGAAUUAUUGGGUGUAAAGGGUGUGUAGGCGGACUUGUAAGUCAGAGGUGAAAGCCCGCGGCUUAACCGUGGAAUUGCCUUUGAUACUGCAGGUCUUGAGUCCUGGAGAGGUCGCUGGAAUUCGUGGUGUAGCGGUGAAAUGCGUAGAUAUCAUGAGGAACACCGAUAGGGAAGCCAGCUUACUGGACGGUCACUGACGCUGAGGUACGAAAGCGUGGGGAGCGAACAGGAUUAGAUACCCCCGUAGUCC
rnacentral:rRNA from 1 species